AUUGAACGCUGGCGGCAGGCCUAACACAUGCAAGUCGAGCGGUAGCAGGCCUUCGGGCGCUGACGAGCGGCGGACGGGUGAGGAACACGUAGGAAUUUGCCUGGUAGUGAGGGAUAGCCCAGAGAAAUUUGGAGUAAUACCGCAUAUGCCCUGAGGGGGAAAGUGGGGGACCGCAAGGCCUCACGCUAUUAGAGAAGCCUGCGUCGGAUUAGCUAGUUGGUAGGGUAAAGGCCUACCAAGGCGACGAUCCGUAGCUGGUCUGAGAGGAUGAUCAGCCACACUGGGACUGAGACACGGCCCAGACUCCUACGGGAGGCAGCAGUGGGGAAUAUUGGACAAUGGGCGAAAGCCUGAUCCAGCCAUGCCGCGUGUGUGAAGAAGGCCUUAGGGUUGUAAAGUUCUUUUGUCUGGGAGCAAAGGUUGUAUGUUAAUAGUAUACAAAGAUGAGAGUACCAGAAGAAUAAGCACCGGCUAACUACGUGCCAGC
rnacentral:rRNA from 1 species